CCGACGGGUGAGUAACACGUAUGCAAUCCACCUGUAACAGGGGAGUAACCCGGAGAAAUCCGGACUAAUACCCCAUAAUAUGGGCGCUCCGCAUGGAGAGUCCAUUAAAGAGAGCAAUCUUGGUUACAGACGAGCAUGCGCUCCAUUAGCCAGUUGGCGGGGUAACGGCCCACCAAGGCGACGAUGGAUAGGGGUUCUGAGAGGAAGGUCCCCCACAUUGGAACUGAGACACGGUCCAA
rnacentral:rRNA from 1 species